rnacentral:lncRNA from 1 species
GGCGGGCUGUGAAUGCCAGUGAUGGGGUCACCAGCUAUGCCAGAGUGGGUCAGAGGACCCCAGCGGCAGUCACCCAACCCAGUCCUGGCAUGGAGAUAAAGGAGGUGGCAUCAAGAAACACCAAGAUUCCAGGUGCGCAGAAAAAUACAACUCUUUGCUGACCUUAUUGGCCAAGAAUAAGUACAUAUUGGUUCAGUAGCUGUGAAGUCCUUCUUCUGGCAGAAAAUGGGCUCAAGGUUCCUCUCCUAUGACACAACCCACUUAUGAGGCCACAUCACCUGGACACAUUGCCUUCUGGGAAUGGUGGCUAAGGGAAUUGUGGCUAUGCUGUUACUCAAAUGCCAAUGACUGAAGCCCUACAAGCAAG